CAGGUGAUCCACCCGCCUUAGCCUCCCAAAGUGCUGGGAUUAUAGGCAUGAGCCACCACACCUGGCCCACUUGAGUCUUUAAAAGGAGAAUGUACCUGAUACGUAUUAGAAGAUACCUCUUCCCCUGCUCCUAUCUCCCGGUCCCCUCUCUGAGCUAGUUCGUUCUGCUGUCCCUAGGGGGUCUUCAGCACCAAGGGAUGGGGGCACAAAUAGGGGUCUGGGUGACCUGAAAUUGCAGGCAGGAAUCAGAGGCAGAAUUUUUAUCUUAAAUAAGAGCAAAAGGAAUAAAGCGGACAGUUCCUAAAAUGCCUGUGUUUCUGGAGUUUAGAAUCUCAGUUUAUGUUCCUUCUGGCAAACCAUAUACAAAGGAUUCUUGCAGAACCACUGUUCCUUACCAAGCUGUGUUAGGCUGAAAUCACCAUUACGCUAAUGUAUAUUUUAAGUCAUUUCCCCCACUGUGGGGCACCACACACCUCACCUCCAUGAGCAUCCCAUCCUCACUGCCCACGGCUGACCUCUUUAAAUGGGGACUGGGAGUUUGUUUUCAAUCUAAUGUCUCCAGCUGAGGUGGGUGAGUGCUUGGUUACAGGCAAUGGAGCAGGUGAAGGGAGGCCUUUGGCAUUCACUCUUUCUCAAUAGAGGUAAGAUUUUCUUACCAUUUUCCCAACGCCUCUGGAUAGUUCUUUGCUACUUUCAAAGGAAUGAGGCUCAUAUUUCAGAGGAGAUCGCCAUCUCACGCUUACUUCAUGUGGCUGUCCUUACCACGUGACCAUGUCCGCAUCCAGUGUGUUUUGAGCCCCCAGGUGCUGCCUGAGCCCCUGUUUGAUGAAAAACAAAUUGUUGAAAGCAGAGAAAGUGAAGAACAGUUGAAGAGAGGAAGAGCGGCAGAAGCAGCUGCCACUGAGUAGGGACCGAGCUCAAGAACACCAUUACUAAAGAAUUUUUCUUGAAAAAUUACAAAGGGAAGCAAAAGAAGGAAACAUGAUUUCUGAGCAGACCUGUCAUUGGCAGUUCUGCACCUGAGGCUCCUUGUUCUUCAUGGGAUCUGAGGACUGGAAGGGAACUUGGGGAUUCUCAAGAGUCACCUCCUUAUUGUACAGAUUGAGAAGCAGAUGCCCUGAGAGGUACAGUGACUCACCCAAAGUCACACAGCUGGUUAAGGGCAAGGAGAGGGCUAGACCCACAUCUCCUGACUUUUAAUUCACUCACUAAACCACAUGCUUCUCCAGUACCAUAGACUUAGCCACAAACUCUUUGAAGAGAUUGAAUAAUUCAAACAGAUGACGCCCUUGUAGAAGGACAAACUGUGGGGUGGCCUCCCUUCUGUGUAAACCAACAACCCAAAUAGCAUAAUGAAAGAGCCCAGUUUAUUUUUCUUGUCACAUAAAUUAAAAUCAUUUACAGGCAGACGUUCCCUAACUCACAAAUAAGCUGUGUCCUAACAGUGUGUUUGGAAUUUGCUAUUUAGAACCCAGGAUGUGUUUUCUUCCUGGGAAAUCACAUGACCGAGUGUGGUCAGAACCCCAGGCCAGGUCACACACGGCGACUGAACCAAUAAGUAACCACCGUGGAGUGGAAGGAACCAUUCAUCAUAUUGUUCCCAUGAAAAAACACAUUCCAGGUUUCAAGUAGGAAUAGUGGAAACGCAGCUACCCCACCAAGGUCCCAGUGCAAAGCUGCCCCUCCCAGGUGCCUGGUGGGGAGCUGGGAGGUUAGGCUAGGUAAGAGCUAGGAAGCCGUGCAGAAUUGUGAACUGGACAUGCGCUUUGGAUGGAGGCAGAACAGGUUUCCAGUCCACUCCACUACUUAAUAGCUGGGUAAGUUCCUUAACCUCUCUGAUCCUCUGAAAAAUGAGGAUGGUAACAACACCUCACUGGUAAAUUAUAAGGACAAAAGAAGACAAUGUCUAUUCAGAACCUA